rnacentral:rRNA from 1 species
UCGAACGAUGAACCGCUUUCGGGCGGGGAUUAGUGGCGAACGGGUGAGUAACACGUGGGCAAUCUGCCCUGCACUCUGGGACAAGCCCUGGAAACGGGGUCUAAUACCGGAUAUGACUGUCCAUCGCAUGGUGGAUGGUGUAAAGCUCCGGCGGUGCAGGAUGAGCCCGCGGCCUAUCAGCUUGUUGGUGAGGUAGUGGCUCACCAAGGCGACGACGGGUAGCCGGCCUGAGAGGGCGACCGGCCACACUGGGACUGAGACACGGCCCAAACUCCUACGGGAGGCAGCAGUGGGGAAUAUUGCACAAUGGGCGAAAGCCUGAUGCAGCGACGCCGCGUGAGGGAUGACGGCCUUCGGGUUGUAAACCUCUUUCAGCAGGGAAGAAGCGAAAGUGACGGUACCUGCAAAAAAAGCGCCGGCUAACUACGUGCCAGCAGCCGCGGUAAUACGUAGGGCGCAAGCGUUGUCCGGAAUUAUUGGGCGUAAAGAGCUCGUAGGGCGGCUUGUCACGUCGGGUGUGAAAGCCCGGGGCUUAACCCCGGGUCUGCAGUCGAUACGGGCAGGCUAGAGUUCGGUAGGGGAGAUCGGAAUUCCUGGUGUAGCGGUGAAAUGCGCAGAUAUCAGGAGGAACACCGGUGGCGAAGGCGGAUCUCUGGGCCGAUACUGACGCUGAGGAGCGAAAGCGUGGGGAGCGAACAGGAUUAGAUACCCUGGUAGUCCACGCCGUAAACGGUGGGCACUAGGUGUGGGCAACAUUCCACGUUGUCCGUGCCGCAGCUAACGCAUUAAGUGCCCCGCCUGGGGAGUACGGCCGCAAGGCUAAAACUCAAAGGAAUUGACGGGGGCCCGCACAAGCGGCGGAGCAUGUGGCUUAAUUCGACGCAACGCGAAGAACCUUACCAAGGCUUGACAUACACCGGAAACGUCUGGAGACAGGCGCCCCCUUGUGGUCGGUGUACAGGUGGUGCAUGGCUGUCGUCAGCUCGUGUCGUGAGAUGUUGGGUUAAGUCCCGCAACGAGCGCAACCCUUGUCCCGUGUUGCCAGCAGGCCCUUGUGGUGCUGGGGACUCACGGGAGACCGCCGGGGUCAACUCGGAGGAAGGUGGGGACGACGUCAAGUCAUCAUGCCCCUUAUGUCUUGGGCUGCACACGUGCUACAAUGGCCGGUACAAUGAGCUGCGAUACCGCGAGGUGGAGCGAAUCUCAAAAAGCCGGUCUCAGUUCGGAUUGGGGUCUGCAACUCGACCCCAUGAAGUCGGAGUCGCUAGUAAUCGCAGAUCAGCAUUGCUGCGGUGAAUACGUUCCCGGGCCUUGUACACACCGCCCGUCACGUCACGAAAGUCGGUAACACCCGAAGCCGGUGGCCCAACCCCUUGUGGGA